UUUACUCAACAAAUCGAACUCAAUACAUCGUCUUCUCCAAAGUCGCAGCCACCAAAAUCUAGGGUUCGUGUUUUGCUUAAAUCGUCAAGACCAGUUACGUUCUUCUUCCUUCUUUGACACCAAAGCGUGGUUCUGUAGCACCAAUGGUUCGUCUCUGUGAUCCCGACUCUUAUAUCCGCUCAGUCUGCAUUGUGGCUGUGUCGGCGAUCUCUUCCCAAUGCACAGAUCAUAGUGGCGUUGUGUCUUGCAGCGGCGAUUGAUGAUGUGGAGGAUCCGGUUCGGUUAGGCAUGUGUUUCUUCCUAGGCUGAAGAGAGGUGAUGAAUCAGAAGAUGAACAGACCUGACUUUGUAGGUAUCAUAAUUUUCCAAGAUCUGUAGUCGUAUUGUAAUUUUUUCUGGAUUCGUAGUUCACUAAACAACUUACUAGAUCAUUGGCCCAGCGUUAAUUGGAAAGUAUCCAACUCAGCAUACUGCUAUUGACAAGUUCAUGGUCUAUAAACUGAUAAAAACGAGUGGGAGUGGUGUAAUCAAAAGGAUAUUGACUUUAUCUGCACCAAAAAGGUCACCGGUAUCAAGAUGUAAAAAGAUGGUGUUACGUUUCUUGCUCCAACUGUACCAAGAAGUUUCAACGGACUGUCUCAGCCUUUUCAGUGUGCACUGCAACAAUACUAAUGUUGUUGGUGUCGUCCGAGAUGUAUCUAUAUAGCAUGUUAUUUCCAUUCAUUGCACUGAAUGUCCACACACACGUAGUUACCCUUGACACUUAAUACAUGUUUUCUGACUUCUAGAUAUCGUGUGGAGAUGACCAUUGCUGAUGAUACUGCUGAUGGUCUAUUUGUUAGUUCGAUGGGAUAAUGACAAAACUACAUAACAUCAUAACCUAUGAAACUGGUCAUCUAUUGGCUGGAGAGGGUGUGAACCCGGAGGAGACUCAGGUCCCCCCUUUUAUUGCACACAUAGUAGUCAAGACCUACACGUUCUAGGUCAAGGUUAGUACCUACAACUUCACAGCGAAUCAUCAAGCUUUCACAAUCUCAAGCAUCCUUAGCGAAGGUGACCGUAUGCCACUCUCUGCCUUUUGUUGACGAUGGAGCAACGAUGACAAUGGAGAUGAUAUAUGCUUGGUGCCAACUCAGUACCUGCUAAGGUGGACAUUGGUGGUAGUAGUUUUCAGGAAGCAUCAACUACAUGAGCAGCUCCAAGUGGUGUCAGACACAAAGAAGCAUCCAGCGCAAGCCGCUUACAAAAUGGCCAAGAAAACACGCAUGGCAUAGGUUAAGAUAGUGAGAGCAUUAGACGCAGUAUUUCCUCUUUGAACAAUGCUAAUGCAUCAAUAUUUUUUUGAACAAGUUUGUUUUUUGUUUCCCUCCUUUUGGGUAAUCUAUGUUUGGUUCAGACGAUUUUUAUAAAAAUGUCUGAGCUUUAAUUGGUUUGUAUAUUUAGUACCAUACAUCAUUUAAUUACUAAGAUUCGGUUUAUAUA